CCUACGGGUGGCUGCAGUGGGGAAUAUUGGACAAUGGGCGAAAGCCUGAUCCAGCCAUCCCGCGUGUGUGAAGAAGGCCUUCGGGUUGUAAAGCACUUUCAGUGGGGAAGAAAGCCUUGGGGCUAAUACCCUCGAGGAAGGACAUCACCCACAGAAGAAGCACCGGCUAACUCCGUGCCAGCAGCCGCGGUAAUACGGAGGGUGCGAGCGUUAAUCGGAAUUACUGGGCGUAAAGCGCGCGUAGGCGGUCUGAUAAGCCGGUUGUGAAAGCCCCGGGCUCAACCUGGGAACGGCAUCCGGAACUGUCAGGCUAGAGUGCAGGAGAGGAAGGUAGAAUUCCCGGUGUAGCGGUGAAAUGCGUAGAGAUCGGGAGGAAUACCAGUGGCGAAGGCGGCCUUCUGGACUGACACUGACGCUGAGGUGCGAAAGCGUGGGUAGCAAACAGGAUUAGAUACCCCAGUAGUC
rnacentral:rRNA from 1 species